CCUACGGGAGGCAGCAGUGAGGAAUAUUGGUCAAUGGACGGGAGUCUGAACCAGCCAAGUAGCGUGAAGGAGGACUGCCCUAUGGGUUGUAAACUUCUUUUAUAAAGGAAUAAAACGAGGCACGUGUGCCUUUUUGCAUGUACUUUAUGAAUAAGGAUCGGCUAACUCCGUGCCAGCAGCCGCGGUAAUACGGAGGAUCCGAGCGUUAUCCGGAUUUAUUGGGUUUAAAGGGAGCGUAGAUGGGUUGUUAAGUCAGUUGUGAAAGGUUGGGGCUCAACCGUAAAAUUGCAAUUGAUACUGGCAGUCUUGAGUACAGUUGAGGUAGGCGGAAUGCGUGGUGUAGCGGUGAAAUGCAUAGAUAUCACGAAGAACCCCGAUUGCGAAGGCAGCUUACUAACCUGUGACUGACAUUGAUGCACGAAAGUGUGGGUAUCAAACAGGAUUAGAUACCCCUGUAGUC
rnacentral:rRNA from 1 species